GGCGAUUUAUCCGGUCUGGGACCGGGCCCCGUUGCUAGCGGGUGGGCAUCUUAGGGUGUGUGGUUCGAUUCCACAGAUCGCCGC
rnacentral:tRNA from 1 species